GACGAACGCUGGCGGCGUGCUUAACACAUGCAAGUCGAACGGAAAGGCCCUGCUUUUGUGGGGGGCUCGAGUGGCGAACGGGUGAGUAACACGUGAGUAACCUGCCCUUGACUUUGGGAUAACUUCAGGAAACUGGGGCUAAUACCGGAUAGGAGCUCCUGCUGCAUGGUGGGGGUUGGAAAGUUUCGGCGGUUGGGGAUGGACUGGGGGCUUAUCAGCUUGUUGGUGGGGUAGUGGCUUACCAAGGCUUUGACGGGUAGCCGGCCUGAGAGGGUGACCGGGCACAUUGGGACUGCGAUACGGACCAGACGCCUACGGGAGGCAGCAGUGGGGAAUAUUGCACAAUGGGCGGAAGCCUGAUGCAGCAACGCCGCGGGCGGGAUGACGGCCUUCGGGUUGUAAACCGCUUUCGCCUGUGACGAAGCGUGAGUGACGGUAAUGGGUAAAGAAGCACCGGCUAACUACGUG
rnacentral:rRNA from 1 species